GUGUCGUCUCACACGUCGAGGUGAUCUCAAACGUCUACGCUCCGGCCAUCCUUCCACGUCGGCCUCCCGGAGUGCUGGGAUGACACGCGUGGGCACGACGGAGUUUCACUCUUGUCGCCCAGGGUGGACUACGAUGGCGUGAUCUCGGCUCGCUGCGACCUCCGCCUCCCGGGUUCGAGUGAUCCUCCUGCCUUGGCCUUCCUGAGGAGCUGGAAUGACGGUGAAGCGCCAUCGUGCCCGGCUGACUUUUAUAUUUUUAGUACGGAUGGGGUUUCUCCGUCUUGGUCAGCCUGGUCUUGCGGAGUGAACGUGUCUCUUGCCGUCUCCCGGGGUGUCCCUUGGACCCCGAGAGACGGAGGGAGCUUGGCUGAGUGGGUUUUCGUGGCUGAAUCCUCCCGAGGGCCUCCUUCCCUCUCCCCCUUGUCCCCGCUUCUCCCCCGGCCGAGGCUCCCGCCGCCGCCGCCGUGGCGUUUUCCGUAGGAGAGCUGUGGGAGAGGACCGACGCGGCUUCCGGAUCUAGAUCCCGCCGGACGUCUCUGGCUCGGCGUCCCCCGCCGGCUACCUGCCGCCUUCCGGGGAGCUCUGAGGCGCGUGCCCCCAGCCCCCGUCACGUCCCGCUACCCUCCCCCGGCUGGCCUUUGCCGGGAGACCCCGGGGGAACCGCGUGGACGCUGCUUUCCGACCCUCCGGCGAACACUUCCGCCGGAUGCCCCGGGUUGGCCGGAUGGGAUGAGACUGGACCGCUCCGGACCGUGCUGUUCUUGGGGCACACGGAUGAGACGCAUGAGAGGGAGAAACAGCUCCAUAGAUACUGCUGACCUUCAUUUGUGGAAUCCUCAGUCACCUACACACAGACAGGCCCCAUUCAUAUGCACAGAGCCCUAUUCCCUUCCUGGAGUUGGAGCUGAUGCCUUCCAUAGCCUUGGGCUUCUCUCCAUUUAGAAGCUUUGACAGGCGCAACCCCACCCAGAGGCUGGCUGCGGCUGAGGAUUCCUGGGCUGCGGUGCAGUGGCGCUCUCUCGGCUCACUGAAACCUCUGCUUCCCGGCUUCCAGUGAUUCUUCUUCGGUAGCUGGGAUUACAGGCGCGCACCGCCACGGCCGGCUGAUAUUUCUAUUUUUUGUAGACGCGGGGUUUCUCCGUGUUGGCCACGCUGGUAUCGAACCCCUGACCUCAAAGGAUCCGCCUUCCCGGGCCUCCCGAAGUGCUGGGACGACAGGCCUGAGCCGCCGGGAUUUCAGCCUUUCAAAGCGUGGGCCCUGCCACCUUUCGCUGCGGCCCUGACGCUCAGAAUGACGUGUCCUCUCUCCCAUAGGUGGACUCCUUGAGUCCCCUAUGCCGUUGCACUCUAGCCUGGGCGGCGAGAGCCAAACUCCGUCCCCCCCACCUCCCCACGCAAAAAGUAAAUACAUACAUAAAGAGAUAAGUAAGUAAGUAAAUCGAUAAAAUCUCUACACAUC
rnacentral:lncRNA from 1 species